rnacentral:rRNA from 1 species
UACGUAGGGGGCAAGCGUUGUCCAGAAUCAUUGGGCGUAAAGAGCGUGUAGGCGGUCCGGUAAGUCGGUUGUGAAAGUCCAGGGCUCAACCCUGGGAUGCCGACCGAUACUGUCGGACUAGAGUUCGGAAGAGGCGAGUGGAAUUCCCGGUGUAGCGGUGAAAUGCGCAGAUAUCGGGAGGAACACCUAUGGCGAAGGCAGCUCGCUGGGACGUUACUGACGCUGAGACGCGAAAGCGUGGGGAGCAAACAGG